GUCCUUGUCGAUUAGUGGUUAGAUCAUCACGUUGUGGGUGCCGACUGGUGGCAUUGCAAAUCCGUGAAGACGCAGGCUCGAAUCCUGCCUGGGACA